rnacentral:misc_RNA from 1 species
GAAGGGCAACGAGUAAAAAUUCUACCCAAAGGCUCUUCAAAUGUCAGCUUGUACAAUCAAUGAUACGAGUCUAUAAAUCCAAUUGGAACGACAGGGUGGCGGCAAUCUGGCCGCAUUCUCUCUCAAUUCAGGUAACUGCCUUUCUGUUCCCCUGUUUAUUCAUUUCGGUUUCAUCGUUUGAUUAGGAGUCUAGUCUUACUCGAAACGUCCGGUUUUAUUGUCCCUUUCAUCAUAUUGUGGUUGUGCUUUAUUUCGUCGUUGUAGACACAUUGCUGUCUUUGUAUUUAUUUUUACCUUUAUUCAUAUCUCCUCGGAUAUGAAACAAAAUAUGAAAAACGAAUUUAGUGUUUUCUUAUCAUUGUAACUAUUCAAUUCCAUGCAAUUGCUCACGUUACUGUGUUUCUAUUCCACCUAAACGAUGUUUUGAUUUUUUACCACAAAGAACCGAGAACCGACGUCGUCAUAUAACUUGGAGUAAAUCAGAAAGGCCUCAGACAUGGUGCCUUUGAUAAAAUGGAUGCUGUCGACCGCGUCACUCUUUGCGACUGUUGUCCAGCCUCUAGACCUGUAUUCCCCAUCGGUCUCGGAGCUUCAGAUCCCAGUCGGUGUCCGAGCAGGACCAGGACAUUCAUCUGUGUGUGGAACUGUUGGGCCAAGACUACCUGCCACCGGCACUCCUGAUGCAUCGUCCGGCGCUCACAAGCUGUCAAAUACUUCUGUGAUUUCGAAUAGUUCUUUUACUGUCUGUGCCUUCGUCAAAGUCGACAGAAGCUUUACACAGUCUAGUCUCUUAACCAUCACUGAGAAAUUCCGGAAAGUUGUUAUCGAUGUUAUACAAAUGGGCGUGAUCCUCCGGGCGGUGAACUCCUCGGGAGGCAACACGACACGCGAGUAUUUCUUCGAAGUGAAGUUUCCUCCCGAGCAAUGGCGCCAUCUGUGCUUGCAAUACGACGGUGCUUCAGGGAAGAGUCGCUGCUUCGCGGACGACGAAGAAAUACCUCUGUCGAGCAUGCGAGCCCCCGGCGUGGGGGAGGGACAUAACCCUCCUGACGAAGGAUCCGCAGUAGCAGACGUCAAGACCGCCCCUCAUCCUAAUAGCUGUACGCCGCACCACGCAUUAGAGGCUAACAGUUGCCAAGACACACGGGAGAAAGUUGACCCGCUAACUGUAAGGUUGUGUGUGGGUGGAUUUGGACGUGUUGCAUUAAGAGCUACGGUAAGUCGGCUGCGCUGGUGGAGCCGAAUUAUUCCAGAUGUUGGGAGAGCGUUCGAGUGUGGAGGGCGUGUGCAAGAGUUCCCUGGUCCGGUAAUGAGUAAGGACUGGGUUGUAACAGGCGAUGCUUCCUUUCAGUCCUCUUCAUUACAUGAAGUGUGUUCAUCAUACCCCCGCUACGUCCUCAUCCAGCCAGCCGGUACAUACAGCCACUCUCAGUCGCUCUGCCAUGCUAUGGCUGGGGCACUGGUGUCAACAGACGACUUGUUGGCAAUGAACGUUACCUCGUUGCAAUUCAACAACAUUUGUUCGGACUCAGAGGAGCCUUUGACCUGGCUCGAUGAAAAAAAUGGGACGAUACUGGAGAUCACGCCCGGCGAUGAGUGCCCCGCUUGGGAUUCGAGCGGAGAAAAGUUGGUAGCAUGUGUCCGACGUUUGGAAUGUUCUAUUUGCAAACUAUCACCUACAGUCAUGUAUACUCUGUACGGUCACACAGGGCGAUUUUUCGAUUACACAUAUUUCAUAGACUCUAACUCAUCCAUUCCUGUGUUCCAAAGUAAAGGAAGCUCUCGAAUCGAGCGUGAGGACACUGUGUGGGUGCUGAGUUCAAGCCUGCACCGUGUUGCGUGGAGGCUGGAGGACGCGGCGGUCCCGAUCGGCCGGCGAAUGUGGAGGGCAGAGGGCCAGGAGGUCGUGCUCACUCUGACCAAGUGCCUCACCACCCAGUUCACCUGCGACGAUGGCCAGUGCAUUUCCCAGACGUUACGCUGUGAUGAUAUUUUGCAUUGUCAAGACAUGUCUGACGAGUUUAAUUGCCAUGUAGUAGAAAAACCAUCUCGCUACGACGUCUCUACUCCCCCGCCUCUCCGGCCUGGGGAGAACGGCACAGUAUCCCUAGCAUAUCAUAUUGAUGUCUAUCACCUGAGUGACAUCACAGCCAUCAAUGCGACGGCUUCCAUGGAUGUGGGUAUCACCCUGACCUGGUACGAUCCGAGACUGAAAUUUCGCAAUCUAAAACCCGACAUAAAAAACUAUUUCCCGUGUGAGUUGGUGUGGACGCCGGCUGUACAGGCAGUGUCUGGCCACGGCGAUGGAACCGUUUUGGACACCAAUGAUUACGAAAAGUUCUGCUAUGCCUACAAUAACGAUGCUACAGAGAGGCGGCCCCUCGGUGAUCCGUAUAUGGGCCAUGAGGCAGACGGGGUGAACACUGCCGUAGAGGUGUACCUGGGCGUGUUGGCCACAGUGCCCUGCCAGUUUCAGUUGCAGCUGUAUCCUUUCGAUACUCAGCUGUGCAAUUUGUCCUUCGUUCUGACUAACUCCCCGUGGUCCAGAGUGUUCGACAAAGCUCUUCCUGGAAAUCACGUCCCUUACCUCAAUGCUCGUCGUUCACUUCUGGAGUAUGUGCUGGAGGACCAGACGACGGCGGUCGGUUGGCUCAUGCAGGCAGCCGACAACAACACCUACUUCGUUCUCUCAUACCACCUGCGACGACUUUACGGAUACCACAUCAUGAACAGUUAUUUUCCCACUCUUCUAAUGUUCGUAAUUUCCUACGCCACCUUCUACUUCCAGGUAUGUGCUUCUGUCUAACACCCCUUCCUAUAUCGCUUACAGAUGCAUGUUCUCUGAUCUUUGGCAAUUUUGAAAGCUCGACGACUUCACAAACCGAAUCAUGAUUUCCCUGACGGCGCAACUGGUCCUAGCGGCGCUCUUCAGCUCCACCACCCGCUCCUCCGUCAAGACACCCUACCUCAAGCUC